UGCCGGCGGCUACAGACGACCGCUGAAAACAUCAGCGAACCUUGACGACGGCGAUCGCGCGUGGAGGGGAGGACGGCCUUGGCCCGCGCGGCGGAGGGCCUGCCGGCGGUGUGCGCCGUGGUGGACCUUGCCAGUGGUAGUUGACAUGUGGGGUCAAAUUCGGUCCACGUCAGCAAAAUACGACGCUAUACUCUAGCCAGUGACCGUUACAACCUUUCAGCCGUCUUCAGUGACCAUACAUUGAGUAUUUCUAAAUACAGGCGGGUAAGCAUGUCAAGUUUAGGUA